rfam:Ailuropoda melanoleuca scaffold417_13, whole genome shotgun sequence.
UUUUUAGUGUAAGUAUGUCCCAUGCAAUAUUUGGAACAUACAUAUACUAGAA